GAAUUUUCUUUAAUUUCUCUUACAGGGUAUUGAAAGAGUCCAUCCGGUCUCAAGAUUGCUGUACAUCAGUGCUGCCACCCACUCACUCACCCGCUGUGUCAGAUCGAUGAGAGCCACUUGGAAUGAGAGUGUGUCUGAGGUCCCCAGGCUGCUCUGGAAGGAAGACGUGCUGCAUUGAUGUCAGCAAUUUUUUCAAAUUGGGCUGCAUUGGGGAAUUGUGUAAAAUGAAGGCGUUUAAAGAAAAACAGCCACUCACUAAUCCCACGGAUGAGGAGUUAACCUUAGGAUAUAAUCCAAACAGCAGAAAAUCAUUUACCUGUGAAGAUGCUUGGUGUUUCUUUAGGAUAACAAAGUACUGGGAGAUAUCUUAUUUUUGUGUCUUAGGUUAAAGGAGAAACACAUGAUUAUCUUGCUGGAUGCUAAAAUAGCAUUUAUUCAACUUCAGUAGCUGUUCCUAGUAAAUGUUUUUAGAAAGCCAGGAAUAAAAGGAUAGCCCUUAAUUUAUGAAGAAUAUAAGGAACACACACACACGCACGCACAUACACAUACAUACACACACACACACACACACACACCAUUAAGCACAAAAGGCAACAGAGGAAACCUUGUCAUCCAGUUUGGUAAAACACUGAAUAGACCCUGAGAUUUGAGACAAGUUAUGUGAGUGAGGAACUUUCCUGGGGUGAGUAGUUGGAAGAAUGAGUCAGCAAAUGUAAGAACCAUCACAGGCAUAAUGAUUAACUGUCCAUUAAAAAUUAAAAACCCUUCUAUCAAGUAAGAUAAUUAAUACUUAGUAAAUCAAAAUCAGUUCAAAAAAAAAUCCCUGGAGAACAAAAUCUGCAAAUUUCAAAUAAAGAUGGACUUGAC
rnacentral:lncRNA from 1 species